AACGAACGCUGGCGGCAUGCCUAACACAUGCAAGUCGAACGAGACCUUCGGGUCUAGUGGCGCACGGGUGCGUAACGCGUGGGAACCUGCCCUUAGGUUCGGAAUAACUCCCCGACAGGGGUGCUAAUACCGGAAAAUGUCUUCGGACCAAAGAUUUAUCGCCUUUGGAUGGGCCCGCGUUGGAUUAGCUAGUUGGUAGGGUAAAAGCCUACCAAGGCGACGAUCCAUAGCUGGUCUGAGAGGAUGAUCAGCCACACUGGGACUGAGACACGGCCCAGAAUCCUACGGGAGGCAGCAGUGGGGAAUAUUGGACUAUGGGCGAAAGCCUGAAGCAGCAAUGCUGCGUGAGUGAUGAAGGUCUUAGGGUUGUAAAGCUCUUUUACCCGGGAUGAUAAUGACAGUACCGGGAGAAUAAGCUCCGGCUAACUCCGUG
rnacentral:rRNA from 1 species